rnacentral:piRNA from 1 species
UCACAUGGGCCUGCGCUGCUCACUUACC